GACGAACGCUGGCGGCGUGCCUAAUACAUGCAAGUAGAACGCAGUUGCGAACGGGUGAGUAACGCGUAGGUAACUGCCUCAUAGCGGGGGAUAACUAUUGGAAACGAUAGCUAAUACCGCAUACUUUGAGAUGGACCUGCGUUGUAUUAGCUAGUUGGUGAGGUAAAGGCUCACCAAGGCGCCGAUACAUAGCCGACCUGAGAGGGAGGACGGCCACAAUGGGACUGAGAAACGGCCCAGACUCCUACGGGAGGCAGGAGGAGGGAAUCUUCGGCAAUGGGCGGAAGUCUGACCGAGGAAAGCCGCGGGAGUGAAGAAGGUUUUCGGAUCGUAAAGCUAUGUUGUGAGAGAAGCGGUACCUAACCAGAAAGGGACGGCUAACUACGUGCCAGCAGCCGCGGUAAUAC
rnacentral:rRNA from 1 species